rnacentral:misc_RNA from 1 species
GAAAUGCGAUAAGUAAUGUGAAUUGCAGAAUUCCGUGAAUCAUCGAAUCUUUGAACGCACAUUGCGCCCCCUGGCAUUCCGGGGGGCAUGCCUGUCCGAGCGUCAUUUCUGCCCUCAAGCACGGCUUGUGUGUUGGGUGUGGUCCCCCCGGGGACCUGCCCGAAAGGCAGCGGCGACGUCCGUCUGGUCCUCGAGCGUAUGGGGCUCUGUCACUCGCUCGGGAAGGACCUGCGGGGGUUGGUCACCACCAUAUUUCACCACGGUUGACCUCGGAUCAGGUAGGAGUUACCCGCUGAACUUAAG